rnacentral:lncRNA from 1 species
GAUGUCAUAAAUCCGGAGCCAGAACCCCCAUGGCCUGAAGCAGAUUGGCUUAGACCAGAUCUGGAUGACCUCAGAGCCACCAUCCAGCAGGUGUACAUGUGGCACAGCAUGACCAGGUCCAGAUACAUGGAGCUCCACACUCAUGUUCAUAACUAGUGUGCUAGUGUACACCAGUCAAACCAAGCAUGAGGAGCCAGAGUUUCUACAUCAAAAAAGGGGCAGACACCUGAAGGAGCUCAGUACAUUGGCCUGGAAUUAUACAAACAACUUAAGUAAUUUUUGAAUAAUUACUUGACAAGUCUUCUUAAGCAUGGAGAAGAUUUGAUGGACAAGAGUGUACUGAAAUUCUACACUCAACAAUGGGAAGAUUACUGAUUUUCAAGCAAAGUGCUGAAUGGAAUUUGUGCCUACCUCAGUAGACACUGGGUUCACCGUGAAUGUGACAAAGGACGAAAGGAAUAUGUGAAAUCUAUUCCCUUGCAUUGGUGACUUGGAGAGACCAUUUAGGCCACUGAAUAAACAGGUAAGAAAUUCUGUUUCAAAGCUGAUCAAAAAGGAAGGAAAUGGUGAAACCAUCAAUACAAAACUGUGAGUGGAGUUGUACAGUGUUACAUGGAAUUGGAGCUGAAGGAAGAUGAUGCAUUUGCAAAGGGCCCUACAUUAACAGUGUAUAAAGAAUCCUUUGAAUCUCUCUCUUUUUUUUUUCUGUCACAGAGAGAUUUUAUGUCACAGAGAGUACUGAAUUCUUGCAGCAGAACCCAGUUACUGAAUAUAUGAAUAAGGCAGAGGCUUGUGUGCUUCAGGAACAAUGAAGAGUUCAGGUUUACCUUCAUGAAGGCACACAAGAUGAAUUAGCAAGGAAAUGUGAGAAAGUCCUCAUUGAAAAACACUUGGAAAUUUUCCACACAGAACUUCAGAAUUUAUUGGAUGCUGACAAAAAUGAAGAUUUGGGACACAUGUAUAAUCUUGUAUCUAGAAUCCAGAAUGACCUAGGAGAAUUGAAAAAACUGCUGGAGACACAGAUUCAUAAUCAGGGUCUUUUAGCUAUUGAAAAAUGUGGAGAAGCUGCUUUAAAUGACCCCAAAAUGUAUGUACAGAAGGUGCUUGACCUUCAUAAAAAAUGCAUUGCCUUGGUAAUGUCUGCAUUUAACAAUGACACUGGCUUUGUGGCUGCUCUUGACAAGGUUGUGGUUGCUUCAUAAACAACAAUGCGGUUACCAAGAUGGCCUAUUUAUCCAGUAACUCCCAUGAGUCAUUGGCUCAAUACUAUGACUCGUUCUUGAAGAAAAGUUCCAAGAACACAGAUGAGGCAGAACUAGAAGAUACACUCAAUCAUAUAAUGGUUGUCUUCAAGUACAUAGAGGACAAAGAUGUGUUUCAGAAGUUCUAUGCAAAAAUGCUGGCCAAGAGGCUCAUCUACCAGAACAGUGAUGAUGCAAAUGAUGAUGCCAGUAACCAUGUCAAUUUUCAGCCACUGUGAUGGCUGGCAUAGAAAGCUGUGAAUUGCCGAUAACUACGUUCCAACUCUAAGGGAAGGCAGUGAGUGACAAUGCUGAAGCCAGCAUGUUCUCUAAGUUAAAGCAAGCUUGUGGUUUUGAGUAUACCUCUAAACUUCAGUGGAUGUUUCAAGACACUGGUGUGAGCAAAGAUCUGAAUGAGCAAUUCAAAAAUCACCUGACAAAUUCAGAACCCCUAGACUGGGAUUUCAGCAUUCAGGUGCUGAGCUCUGGGUCCUGGCCCUUUAAGCAGUCUUGUAUGUUUGCCUUCCCCUAGGGUUGGAAUGUAGUUAUCGGCAAUUCACAGCUUUCUAUGCCAGCUGUCACAGUGGCUGAAAAUUGACAUGGUUAUAUCAGUUGUCUAAAGGAGAAUUGGUAACUAACUGCUUUACAAACAGAUAUACUUUGCAGGCAUCCACAUUCCAGACGGCAAUCCUGCUUCAGUACAACACAGAAGAUGCCUACACUGUACAGCAGCUGACUGAUUGCACUCAAAUUAAAAUGGACAUUUUGGCAUAAGUCCUACAGAUUUUAUUAAAGUUGAAGUUAUUGGUCUUGGAAGAUGAAAAUGUAAAUGCUGAUGAGGUGGAAUUGAAGACAGAUACCUUAAUAAAAUUACAUCUUGGUUAUAAAAAUUAGAAAUUAAGGGUUAACAUCAAUGUGCCCAUGAAACUGAACAGAAGCAGGAACAAGAAAACACAAACAAAAAUAUUGAGGAAGACUGCAAACUACUGAUUCAGAUGGCCAUCAUGAGAAUCAUGAAGAUGAGGAAGGUUUUGAAACACCAGCAGUUAGUUGAUGAGGCCCUCACUCAGCUAUCCUCCAGGUUCAAAUCCCGGGUCCCUGAUCAAGAAAUGCAUUGACAUUCUAAUUGAGAAAGAAUAUUUGGAGCAAGUUGAUGGUGAAAAGCACACCUACAGUUACUUGGC